UGCAUAUCAAAAGCGGAGGAAAAGAAACUAACAAGGAUUCCCUGUAACGGCGAGUGAAGCGGGAAGAGCUCAAUGAAAUGGCAGUCUUCGAUUGUCGAGUGUAAUUAAGAGGCGUUUUCCGUGGACCGUGUCAAGUUCCUGGAAAGGAGUAUCAAAGAGGGUGAUAAUCCCGUACUUACCCCGGUGCUCUGUGAUCGUUUUACGAGUCGAGUUGUUUGGGAAUGCACUCAAAAUGGGUGGUGAAUUCCAUUAAAGCUAAAUAUUGGCGAGAGACCGAUAGCGAGCAAGUCCGUGAGGCAAAGACGAAAACGCUUGGAAAGAGAGUUUAGCAAGCGUGAAAUUGUUGAAAGGGAACGAUUGAAGUCAGUCGUGUUCUUCGGAUUCAGCCAGUUUGCUCGUCUUUUCCUUGGAACGGGUCUCAUCAGUUUCGUCCGGYCGAUAUCGGUAGUAGGAACGGGACUUCUCCGGAAGAGUGAUACUAUUCUCCAUGCACGGGUGAUAUAGGGCUCAGCUCCCCUCUAUGCCGACUUCUGGCAUCGCUCGUAAUCUAGG
rnacentral:rRNA from 1 species